UACGAGGGGGGCGAGCGUUUGUUCGGAAUUAUUGGGCGUAAAGGGUGCGUAGGCGGUUCCGCAAGUCCUGUGUGAAAUCUUCGGGCUCAACUCGAAGUCUGCACGGGAAACUGCGGGGCUUGAGUAUGGGAGAGGUGAGUGGAAUUCCUGGUGUAGCGGUGAAAUGCGUAGAUAUCAGGAGGAACACCUGUGGCGAAAAGCGGCUCACUGGACCAUAACUGACGCUGAUGCACGAAAGCUAGGGGAGCAAACAGG
rnacentral:rRNA from 1 species